GCAUGCCUGUUUGCCAUUUGUGGUCUCUUCCAAUCCUUCAUUUUACAGAUGGAGAAACUAAGGACAAACAAGAGAGCGUGUACCAAACGUGUUCAGGUCUCUAAGAAAACCUGAAGUCCCUGCCUCCAACCUUCCUCCCCGGCAGAUACCCACACUACAUCCCCUCACUCCUACUGGCUCCCCAGACAACGAGCUGGACAAUAUGACCCAAGAAUCUUACUGCCAAGAUUCACUUCGAUCUGAUUUUACAUGGAAAUAAAUGCAAGUGGAAAGAAAAGAUUUCCAGCAAAAUUUCCCUGAAUUUCU